rnacentral:rRNA from 1 species
GAUGAACGCUAGCUACAGGCUUAACACAUGCAAGUCGCGGGGCAGCAUGGGGGUUGCUUGCAAUCCCCGAUGGCGACCGGCGCACGGGUGAGUAACGCGUAUCCAACCUGCCCUUCACCAUGGGAUAACCCGGCGAAAGUCGGACUAAUACCGUAUGUUGUCCAUUGACGGCAUCCGAUUUGGACGAAAGGUUUGGCGGUGAAGGAUGGGGAUGCGUCUGAUUAGCUGGACGGCGGGGUGACGGCCCACCGUGGCGACGAUCGGUAGGGGUUUUGAGAGGAAGGUCCCCCACGCUGGAACUGAGACACGGUCCAGACUCCUACGGGAGGCAGCAGUGAGGAAUAUUGGUCAAUGGGCGUAAGCCUGAACCAGCCAAGUAGCGUGCAGGAUGACGGCCCUAUGGGUUGUAAACUGCUUUUAUGCGGGGAUAAAGUGGCCCACGUGUGGGUUUUUGCAGGUACCGCAUGAAUAAGGACCGGCUAAUUCCGUG